rnacentral:ncRNA from 7 species
GGUGAACCUGCGGAAGGAUC